UCAAACACCAAAACCAUACCUACGCAUCCCGAUCGUCUUUUGUUUUCCCAUCUCUCCUUGACGACACAAACGUCAUCUGUUCGUCUCUAGCGUCGUCAUCGACCCUGCAUCCUUUCUGUGUGUCUCACAUCAAGAAACGUUUCUUAUAUUUCUCUCUCUCUCUCCCCGUCUCAUGUUGGAAGACAUUCGUCUCGUUUUACUCUCCCUCAUACUUUCUCAUCUUGGUAUAUUCCAAACCGUCACACUGUAUUCGAGCCAUAAGAGCAUCUUGCCCUCGCUGUAUCGAGACGGCACAAAGAGACCCUCUGAACAACAAGAGACGGUAUAUUCAAUACAAUCAUUAUAUUGCCCUAA
rnacentral:lncRNA from 1 species